CCACCACCAAAGCAUUCUCUGGUGUUGAAGGCCCUGCAAAGCAGCAUCGCGGUGGCGGAGCGUCGUUUGCGACGCCCAACACACAAAACAAGCGGUGAGUGCUUUGGGGUGGGGUGACUGCGUACCUUUUGUAUAAUGGGUCAGCGACUUAUAUUCUGUAGCAAGGUUAACCGUAUAGGGGAGCCGGAGGGAAACCGAGUCUUAACCGGGCGUUAAGUUGCAGGGUAUAGACCCGAAACCCGGUGAUCUAGCCAUGGGCAGGUUGAAGGUUGGGUAACACUAACUGGAGGACCGAACCGACUAAUGUUGAAAAAUUAGCGGAUGACCUGUGGCUGGGGGUGAAAGGCCAAUCAAACCGGGAGAUAGCUGGUUCUCCCCGAAAGCUAUUUAGGUAGCGCCUCGUGAAUUCAUCUCCGGGGGUAGAGCACUGUUUCGGCUAGGGGGCCAUCCCGGCUUACCAACCCGAUGCAAACUGCGAAUACCGGAGAAUGUUAUCACGGGAGACACACGGCGGGUGCUAACGUCCGUCGUGAAGAGGGAAACAACCCAGACCGCCAGCUAAGGUCCCAAAGUCAUGGUUAAGUGGGAAACGAUGUGGGAAGGCCCAGACAGCCAGGAUGUUGGCUUAGAAGCAGCCAUCAUUUAAAGAAAGCGUAAUAGCUCACUGGUCGAGUCGGCCUGCGCGGAAGAUGUAACGGGGCUAAACCAUGCACCGAAGCUGCGGCAGCGACGCUUAUGCGUUGUUGGGUAGGGGAGCGUUCUGUAAGCCUGUGAAGGUGGCCUGUGAGGGUUGCUGGAGGUAUCAGAAGUGCGAAUGCUGACAUAAGUAACGAUAAAGCGGGUGAAAAGCCCGCUCGCCGGAAGACCAAGGGUUCCUGUCCAACGUUAAUCGGGGCAGGGUGAGUCGACCCCUAAGGCGAGGCCGAAAGGCGUAGUCGAUGGGAAACGGGUUAAUAUUCCCGUACUUGGUGUUACUGCGAAGGGGGGACGGAGAAGGCUAUGUUGGCCGGGCGACGGUUGUCCCGGUUUAAGCGUGUAGGUGUGUGUUCCAGGUAAAUCCGGUUCACUUUAACACUGAGGCGUGAUGACGAGGCACUACGGUGCUGAAGCAACAAAUGCCCUGCUUCCAGGAAAAGCCUCUAAGCAUCAGGUAACAUCAAAUCGUACCCCAAACCGACACAGGUGGUCAGGUAGAGAAUACCAAGGCGCUUGAGAGAACUCGGGUGAAGGAACUAGGCAAAAUGGUGCCGUAACUUCGGGAGAAGGCACGCUGACACGUAGGUGAAGUGAUUUACUCAUGGAGCUGAAGUCAGUCGAAGAUACCAGCUGGCUGCAACUGUUUAUUAAAAACACAGCACUGUGCAAACACGAAAGUGGACGUAUACGGUGUGACGCCUGCCCGGUGCCGGAAGGUUAAUUGAUGGGGUCAGCGCAAGCGAAGCUCCUGAUCGAAGCCCCGGUAAACGGCGGCCGUAACUAUAACGGUCCUAAGGUAGCGAAAUUCCUUGUCGGGUAAGUUCCGACCUGCACGAAUGGCGUAAUGAUGGCCAGGCUGUCUCCACCCGAGACUCAGUGAAAUUGAACUCGCUGUGAAGAUGCAGUGUACCCGCGGCAAGACGGAAAGACCCCGUGAACCUUUACUAUAGCUUGACACUGAACAUUGAGCCUUGAUGUGUAGGAUAGGUGGGAGGCUUUGAAGCGUGGAC
rnacentral:rRNA from 1 species